rnacentral:misc_RNA from 1 species
GCCGCAAGUGUCAAAGCUCCCGAAGGUCAGUCUUAUUGGUGAUCGAUAUCUAUAUAGAAGAUUUCUUUUCACUAACAAAAUCUUGUGAGGCAGAUAUGUGGCUAUCUAAUCGGUUCAAAUGUAAAUUAGAGACGUGAUUUUUGGUCUUUUGGGGCUAAAAUAUACAUUUGUGUAUUGUAUAUCACAAUUCGUUUGCAGUAACAUGAGGGAAGUUUCAUGGAGCCAUG